AGGCUGGACUUGUUACCUUUAAUAUG
rnacentral:piRNA from 1 species